rnacentral:rRNA from 1 species
GACAGAGGAUGCAAGCGUUAUCCGGAAUGAUUGGGCGUAAAGCGUCUGUAGGUGGCUUUUCAAGUCCGCCGUCAAAUCCCAGGGCUCAACCCUGGACAGGCGGUGGAAACUGCCAAGCUGGAGUACGGUAGGGGCAGAGGGAAUUUCCGGUGGAGCGGUGAAAUGCGUAGAGAUCCGGAGGAACACCAGUGGCGAAGGCGACACGCUGGGCCGUACCUGACGCUAAAGCGCGACAGCAUGGGGAGCAAACGGG